GCCGGGCCUGGUGGCGCAUGCCUGUGGUCCCAGCUACUUGGGAGGCUGAGGCAGGGGGAUUCCUUGAACACAGGAGGCUGAGGCUGCAGUGAGCCAUGAUCGCACCACUGCACUCCAGCCUGGGCAACAGAGCAAGACCCUGUCUCUU
rnacentral:SRP_RNA from 1 species